AUGCAGGGAUUCUGUGGGGUCUGGGCUGUCCCAUCUCAGUGUUUGUCACCCCUGUGUAACAAUUCAGGGAUUCUGUGGGGUCUGGGNGGGGAGCAGGGGCUGGGACAGGGCAGGGAUGGGUGGGAGAUUGGAAAUUGGGAAUUACAGGGAAAGGAGCCUGCAGGAGAGCUGGGGAGGGACUGGGAACGGGACAGGGAUGGGUGGGAGGUUGAGAAUUGGGGAUUCCAGUGGAGGGAGCCUGCAGGAGAGCUGGGGAGGGGCUGGGACAGGGCAGGGAUGGGUGGGAGAUUGGGAACUGGGGAUUCCUUUGCAGGAGAGCUGGGGAGGGGCUGGGGACAAGGGAUGGAGGGACAGGACACAGGGACAUGGAUGGGAGAUUGGGAAUUGGGGAUUCUGGUAAAGGGAGCCUGCAGGAGAGCUGGGGAGGGGCUGGGAACAGGACAGGGAGGGACAGGGAUGGGUGGGAGGUUGAGAAUUGGGGAUUCCAGUGGAGGGAGCCUGCAGGAGAGCUGGAGAGGGACUGGGGACAAGAGAUGGAGGGACAGGACACAGGGACAGGGCAGGGAUGGAUGGGAGAUUGGGAAUUGGGGAUUCCAGGGAAAGGAGCCUCCAGGAGAGCUGGGGAGGGACUGGGGACAAGGGAUGGAGGGACAGGGCACAGGGAUGGAUGGGAGAUUGGAAAUUGGGAAUUCUAGGGAAAGGAACCUACAGGAGAGCUGGAGAGGGACUGGGGACAAGGGAUGGAAGGACAGGGCACAGGGACAGGGCAGGGAUGGAUGGGAGAUUGGGAAUUCUUGGCUGGGAGGGGGUUCCAGGGAAAGGAGCCUCCAGGAGAGCUGGGGAGGGACUGGGAACGGGACAGGGAUGGGUGGGAGAUUGGGAAUUGGGGAUUCUGGUAAAGGGAGCCUGCAGGAGAGCUGGGGAGGGACUGGGGACAAGGGAUGGAGGGACAGGACACAGGGAUGGGUGGGAGAUUGGGAAUUGGGGGUUCCAGUGGAGGGAGCCUGCUAG
rnacentral:lncRNA from 1 species